UAUUAUUUAGUAUCUAUGUAUAUCUAACUUCCAAUUAGAAGGACUUCAUUUGAAGAAUAAUAA
rnacentral:tRNA from 1 species